rnacentral:lncRNA from 1 species
GCGAUAUUGUUGGUCUGACAUCAAUUUAUGUUAAUUGGGAAUAACUCGCUUUCUAUUUAUACCCAACCGAAAGGACCGCGAGACAAGCGUUUGGGCAGCUCCCUGUUUAUGAAAAUUCUAAAAUGAGGCUUAAACCAAACCAGGAUGUGGUUUUACUUUUCUGUCUUGGCGUUCUUUGUUUCAGCCAAAUAGGCUGUGUAAGCCUCGAAAUCACGCAAAGACAAGAGAGACACGGAGAGGAAAAAAACGAUGAUGUUCGAGUGGGUACCAUUAUGUUCGGCAGAGAUAUUUCUGAUUUUGGCCCAGUGAAAAAUGAGGAUGGCUUUAACAUUCAAGCCGACGCUGCUGAGCUGGUUGGUGGACAAGAUGUCAUUGAUGACUCCAGUUCUUCUAAGGCAGCCUGGGCUAGUAUGCGACCAACUGUGUUAUGUACUAAGGACCUCAUGAAGUUCUUGGCACAAGGCCCAGGAUCCUCUUCACUUCAGCUAGACAGAGCAGGAGGAACACCGCUCAAGCUAAACCAGCUGCCGGAGGACUGUGGCUACUCUGUGUACAGGACCGUACUGGGCUUUGUGUUUCUCAUCACUUAUGAUGGUUGUGAUGUUAUAAAUCAGGGUGGCAACCAUUUGCUCCAGAUGUUAUGGCAAGGCAAUCCAGUAACCCUUUCUUGCCCUGUGUCAACCCAAGCCUCUCAAUCUCCUAUGGAUCGACCACUUAUCCAUCCAUCAGCUCCCACUACUGAAGCUCCAUCUACUGGGAUACAACCCAGGAUGCAAAACCCAGGAUCCACUGCCUCUAAGCUUCCCCCACAAGAUCAGCAGCAGCAGCAGCAACAGUUGAUGCAGCAGCAGCAGCAACAGUUGAUGCAGCAGCAGCAGCAACAGUUGAUGCAGCAGCAGCAGCAACAGUUGAAGCAGCAGCAGCAGCAGCAGCAGCAGCAGCAGCAGCAGCAGCAGCAGCAGCAGCAGCAACAGUUGAAGCAGCAGCAGCAGCAGCAGCAAGAAUUGAUGCACUCUUACCUCAUGUACCCAGGAUACAGAAACCCUUUCAUGCCAGUAAAGGCUCCCCCUCAAACUACUGCAGCUCCCGCUACUACAGAAGCAACUUCAUCCACUGCCUGUAAGCAGCAGCAGCAGCAGCAACUGAAGUGGCUUCAACGACGAUCAAGCCAUCCAAUCAAGUCCAGCAGCAGUUAAUGGACACUGACCAGUUUUACCACCAGUACCUUUUCCCACCACCCAUGCCAGCUAAGGCUCCAGCAUCCACUGCUGCUCCAACGACCACUCCAUCAGAACUGCCAACCGUCUGCCCUCACAGAAAUGUAGUCUGCAGGAGAUUUCUAACUACAAUGAACCCCUCAAACCUUUUUUUGUCAAGUUCCUUUAUCCCUCUGAUCUCGACCAACCGAAGGCCAAGACCAAAUCUUGGACUCGGGUGUUCUCACAGAAGGGGACACGCCCGUUAGUCCCACAUGACAUGCUGGCUACAUUUCCUUUUAAUAAAUGUCUCCAGACCAAGAGCA